rnacentral:rRNA from 1 species
CAGAGGAGCCAAGCGUUGUCCGGAUUGACUGGGCGUAAAGCGCACGCAGGCGGACGCGCGCGUGGGGUGUGAAAUCUGGCCGCUUAACGGCCAGGCGCCAUCCCAUACGGCGCGUCUGGAGCCUUGCAGAGGUCGGUGGAAUUGCCGGUGUAGUGGUGAAAUGCGUAGAGAUCGGCAGGAACACCCAGGGGGAAACCAGCCGACUGGGCAAGCGCUGACGCUGAGGUGCGAGAGCGUGGGGAGCGAACCGGAUUAGAUACCCGGGUAGUCCACGCCGUAAACGAUGGCCACUCGGCCUUUGGGGGCGGAUUAUCCGUCCGUGGGGGCCUUAGCAAACGCGGGAAGUGGCCCGCCUGGGAACUACGAGCGCAAGCUUA